rnacentral:rRNA from 1 species
UACGGAGGGUGCAAGCGUUGCUCGGAAUUAUUGGGCGUAAAGCGUGCGCAGGCGGUUUUGUAAGUCUGUCGUGAAAGCCCCGGGCUCAACCUGGGAAUUGCGAUGGAGACUGCAAGGCUUGAAUCUGGCAGAGGGGGGUAGAAUUCCACGUGUAGCAGUGAAAUGCGUAGAGAUGUGGAGGAACACCGAUGGCGAAGGCAGCCCCCUGGGUCAAGAUUGACGCUCAUGCACGAAAGCGUGGGGAGCAAACAGG